rnacentral:rRNA from 1 species
AUACGGAGGGUGCAAGCGUUACUCGGAAUCACUGGGCGUAAAGCGCGCGCAGGCGGCCCGAUAAGUUGGAUGUGAAAGCCUACGGCUCAACCGUAGAACUGCAUCCAAAACUGUCGGGCUGGAGUCGGGGAGGGGAAGAUGGAAUUAGUUGUGUAGGGGUAAAAUCUGUAGAGAUAACUAGGAAUACCAAAAGCGAAGGCGAUCUUCUGGAACAGUACUGACGCUGAGGCGCGAAAGCGUGGGGAGCAAACAGGAUUAGAAACCCUAGUAGUCC